rnacentral:rRNA from 1 species
ACGACUCUCGGCAAGGGAAUAUCUGGGCUCUCGCAUCGAUGAAGAACGUAGCGAAAUGCGAUACUUGGUUGUGAAUUGCAGAAUCCCGGUGAACCAUCGAGUUUUUGAACGCAAGUUGCGCCUUGAAGCCAAUUAGGCCGAGGCACGUCUGCCUGGCCGUCACG